rnacentral:rRNA from 1 species
UACGGGGGGGAGCAAGCGUUUGUUCGGAUUUACUGGGCGUAAAGGGCGCGUAGGCGGCCACGCACGUCCGUUGUGAAAUCGCCCGGCUCAACUGGGCGGGGUCAGCGGAUACGGUGUGGCUAGAGCAAGCUAGGGGGCAAUGGAAUUCCCGGUGUAGUGGUGGAAUGCGUAGAUAUCGGGAGGAACACCAGUGGCGAAGGCGGUUGCCUGGAGCUUUGCUGACGCUGAUGCGCGAAAGCGUGGGGAGCGAGUCCGG